GACGAACGCUAGCGGCAGGCCUAACACAUGCAAGUCGAGGGGCAGCAUAAAAUAAACUUGUUUAUUUGGUGGCGACCGGCGCACGGGUGCGUAACGCGUAUGCAACCUACCUUACACAGGGGGAUAGCCCGGAGAAAUUGGGAUUAAUACCCCAUAGCACUAUCGGAUGGCAUCAUUUGAUAUUUAAAGCUUUGGCGGUGUAAGAUGGGCAUGCGUCCUAUUAGCUCGUUGGUGAGGUAACGGCGCACCAAGGCUACGAUAGGUAGGGGGCCUGGGAGAGUGGUACCCCGCAGUGGAGCUGGGACACGGACCAGGCUCCUACGGGAGGCAGCAGAGAGGAAUAUUAGUCAAUGGGCGGAAGCUUGAACCAACGAUGCCACGUGAAGGAUGAAGGUUCUAUGGAUUGUAAACUUCUUCUAUUUGGGAAUAAACCCCUUUACGUGUAGAGGGCUGAAGGUACCAAAUGAAUAAGCACCGGCUAACUCCGUGCCAGCCGCCGCAGUAAAAC
rnacentral:rRNA from 1 species